rnacentral:rRNA from 1 species
ACUCCUACGGGAGGCAGCAGUGGGGAAUUUUGCGCAAUGGGGGAAACCCUGACGCAGCAACGCCGCGUGAGUGAUGAAGGCCCUUGGGUCGUAAAGCUCUGUCAGAGGGAAAGAAAUGUGGGCGGCUAAUAUCCGUACCACUUGACGGUACCCUCAAAGGAAGCACCGGCUAACUCCGUGCCAGCAGCCGCGGUAAUACGGAGGGUGCGAGCGUUGUUCGGAAUUAUUGGGCGUAAAGCGCGUGUAGGCGGCUUAUUAAGUCUGAUGUGAAAGCCCUGGGCUCAACCUGGGAAGUGCAUUGGAUACUGGUAGACUUGAGUACGGGAGAGGGCAGUGGAAUUCCCAGUGUAGGAGUGAAAUCCGUAGAUAUUGGGAGGAACACCGGUGGCGAAGGCGGCUGCCUGGACCGAUACUGACGCUGAGACGCGAAAGCGUGGGGAGCAAACAGGAUUAGAUACCCUGGUAGUCCACGCCGUAAACGAUGAGAACUAGGUGUUGCGGGUA